UACGUAGGGUGCAAGCGUUAAUCGGAAUUACUGGGCGUAAAGCGUGCGCAGGCGGUUAUGUAAGACAGAUGUGAAAUGCCCGGGCUUAACCUGGGAACUGCAUUUGUGACUGCAUGGCUAGAGUUUGGCAGAGGGGGGUAGAAUUCCACGUGUAGCAGUGAAAUGCGUAGAUAUGUGGAGGAACACCGAUGGCGAAGGCAGCCCCCCUGGGUCAAGAUUGACGCUCAUGCACGAAAGCGUGGGGAGCAAACAGG
rnacentral:rRNA from 1 species